GGAUUGACGGACUGAAGGCUCUUUCUCGAUUCCGUGGAAAGUGGUGCAUGGCCGUUUUUGGUUGGUGGAUCGAUCCGUCUGGUUAAUUCCGUUAACGAACGAGACCUCGGCACUCCGAAUAGCGCGGCGGACGUCGCGGCCUCCGGGCCGUCUUCCGCACGAGCUUCUUAGAGGGACCGUCCCCCGCCGGGGAAGGAGGUGCGAGGCAACGACAGGUCUGUGAUGCCCUUAGAUGUUCUGGGCCGCACGCGCAUUACACUGACGCGUCCAACGGGUGACUCCCGACCCGAAGGGGCCGGGGAAUCCGCAAGGCGCGUCGUGAUGGGGAUUGAACGUUGCAAUUGUUGUUCACGAACGAGGAAUUCCUAGUAGGCGCGGGUCAUCAACCCGCGCCGAUUACGUCCCUGCCCUUUGUACACAC
rnacentral:rRNA from 1 species